rnacentral:rRNA from 1 species
AGAGUUUGAUCAUGGCUCAGAACGAACGCUGGCGGCAGGCCUAACACAUGCAAGUCGAGCGCACCUUCGGGUGAGCGGCGGACGGGUUAGUAACGCGUGGGAACGUGCCCAGAUCUGCGGAAUAGCCACUGGAAACGGUGAGUAAUACCGCAUACGCCCUUCGGGGGAAAGAUUUAUCGGAUUUGGAUCGGCCCGCGUUAGAUUAGGUAGUUGGUGGGGUAACGGCCUACCAAGCCUACGAUCUAUAGCUGGUUUUAGAGGAUGAUCAGCAACACUGGGACUGAGACACGGCCCAGACUCCUACGGGAGGCAGCAGUGGGGAAUCUUGGACAAUGGGCGCAAGCCUGAUCCAGCCAUGCCGCGUGAGUGAUGAAGGCCUUAGGGUCGUAAAGCUCUUUCGCCAGGGAUGAUAAUGACAGUACCUGGUAAAGAAACCCCGGCUAACUCCGUGCCAGCAGCCGCGGUAAUACGGAGGGGGUUAGCGUUGUUCGGAAUUACUGGGCGUAAAGCGCGCGUAGGCGGACCAGAAAGUUAGGGGUGAAAUCCCGGGGCUCAACCCCGGAACUGCCUCUAAAACUCCUGGUCUAGAGUUCGAGAGAGGUGAGUGGAAUUCCGAGUGUAGAGGUGAAAUUUCGUAGAUAUUCGGAGGAACACCAGUGGCGAAGGCGGCUCACUGGCUCGAUACUGACGCUGA